rnacentral:rRNA from 1 species
CUACGUGCCAGCAGCCGCGGUAAUACGGAGGAUGCGAGCGUUAUCCGGAUUUAUUGGGUUUAAAGGGUGCGUAGGCGGCCUGUUAAGUCAGCGGUGAAAUCUAGGAGCUUAACUCCUAAAUUGCCAUUGAUACUGGCGGGCUUGAGUGUAGAUGAGGUAGGCGGAAUGCGUGGUGUAGCGGUGGAAUGCAUAGAUAUCACGCAGAACUCCGAUUGCGAAGGCAGCUUACUAAGGUACAACUGACGCUGAAGCACGAAAGCGUGGGUAUCAAACAGGAUUAGAUACCCUGGUAGUCCACGCUGUAAACGAUGAUAACUGGGCGUAUGCGAUAUACAGUAUGCUCCUAAGCGAAAGCGUUAAGUUAUCCACCUGGGGAGUACGCCGGCAACGGUGAAACUCAAAGGAAUUGACGGGGGCCCGCACAAGCGGUGGAGCAUGUGGUUUAAUUCGACGCAACGCGAGGAACCUUACCAGCGUUUGACAUC